rnacentral:tRNA from 1 species
GUAAGAUUAGUUUAGUUAAAAUACUGGGUUGUGGGUUCAGAGAAAGAUAAUAAAUCUAUUUUAUU